rnacentral:rRNA from 1 species
AUGUAUAGAGCGCUGAUCCAGCCAGAUAUACCAGUUGAUAAUAAUAAAAUGAUUUGGAAGAUGAAGACACCACUCAAGAAUAAAAUCUUUGUGUGGUACCUUCGUCGAGGAGUCAUUCUUACUAGACAUAACCUUAUUAAGAGGAACUAGCAUGGAAGUGUGGAAUGUGUUUUUUUUCACCAUGAUGAGACCAUAAAACACUUGUUCUUCCUAUGCAAAAUGGUCAUUUUAUAUGGUCAGUCAUCCAAGUAA